rnacentral:lncRNA from 1 species
AUGGGCACUAGUGGGGUCCCUCAAGGCUCCGUUUUAGGGCCAGUCCUCUUCAACGUUUUUAUAAACAAUUUGGAUGUAGGACUAGAAGGUGUUUUGAGCAAAUUUGCCGACGACACCAAACUUGGAGUAGUUGUAGACUUGGUUGAGGGUGGAAAGGCCUUGCAGAGAGAUCUGGACAGAUUGGAGAGCCGGACAAUCACCAGCCACAUGAAGUUUAACAAGAGCAAGUGCCGGGUCCUGCACCUGGGACACGGCAACCCUGGCUAUACGUACAGACUGGGCGACGAGAUGCUGGAGAGCAGCCCUGCAGAGAGGGAACUGGGGGUUGUGGUUGACAGCAAGCUGAAUAUGAGCCAGCAGCGUGCCCUGGCAGCCAGGAGGGCCAACCGUAUCCUGGGGUGCAUCAAGCACGGCAUCGCUAGUCGGCCCAGGGAAGGGAUUGUCCCGCUCUACUCUGCACUGGUGCGGCCUCACCUCGAGCACUGUGUGCAGUUCUGGGCACCACAGUACANGGGCACUAGUGGGGUCCCUCAAGGCUCCGUUUUAGGGCCAGUCCUCUUCAACGUUUUUAUAAACAAUUUGGAUGUAGGACUAGAAGGUGUUUUGAACAAAUUUGCCGACGACACCAAACUUGGAGUAGUUGUAGACUUGGUUGAGGGUGGAAAGGCCUUGCAGAGAGCUCUGGACAGAUUGGAGAGCCGGGCAAUCACCAACCGCAUGAAGUUUAACAAGAGCAAGUGCUGGGACCUGCACCUGGGACGGGGCAACCCUGGCUAUACGCACAGACUGGGCGACGAGAUGCUGGAGAGCAGUCCUGCAGAGAGGGAACUGGGGGUUGUGGUUCACAGCAAGUUGAAUAUGAGCCAGCAGCGUGCCCUGGCAGCCAGGAGGGCCAACUGUACCCUGGGGUGCAUCAAGCACAGCAUCGCUAGUCGGUCGAGGGAAGGGAUUGUCCGGCUCUGCUCGGUGCUGUGCGGCCUCACCUCGAGUACUGUGUGCAGUUCUGGGCACCACAGUACAAAAAGGAUGUAA